CAAUCUAGAGUAUCGGAGAGGAAAGUGGAAUUCCUAGUGUAGCGGUGAAAUGCGUAGAUAUUAGGAGGAACACCAGUGGCGAAGGCGACUUUCUGGACGAAAACUGACGCUGAGGCGCGAAAGCCAGGGGAGCGAACGGGGUUAGAUACCCCGGUAGUCCUGGCCGUAAACGAUGGGUACUAGGUGUAGGAGGUAUCGACCCCUUCUGUGCCGGAGUUAACGCAAUAAGUACCCCGCCUGGGGAGUACGACCGCAAGGUUGAAACUCAAAGGAAUUGACGGGGGCCCGCACAAGCGGUGGAGUAUGUGGUUUAAUUCGACGCAACGCGAAGAACCUUACCAGGUCUUGACAUUGAUGGACAGAACUAGAGAUAGUUCCUCUUCUUCGGAAGCCAGAAAACAGGUGGUGCACGGUUGUCGUCAGCUCGUGUCGUGAGAUGUUGGGUUAAGUCCCGCAACGAGCGCAACCCCUAUCUUAUGUUGCCCGCACUUUGGGUGGGAACUCAUGAGAGACUGCCGCAGACAAUGCGGAGGGAGGCGGGGAUGACGUCAAAUCAUCAUGCCCCUUAUGACCUGGGCUACACACGUACUACAAUGGGAGUUAAUAGACGGAAGCGAGAUCGCGAGAUGGAGCAAACCCGAGAAACACUCUCUCAGUUCGGAUCGUAGGCUGCAACUCGCCUACGUGAAGUCGGAAUCGCUAGUAAUCGCAGGUCAGCAUACUGCGGUGAAUACGUUCCCGGGCCUUGUACACACCGCCCGUCACACCACGAAAGUCGGAAGUGCCCA
rnacentral:rRNA from 1 species